UACGGAGGGUGCAAGCGUUACCCGGAAUCACUGGGCGUAAAGGGCGUGUAGGCGGAUCACUCAGUCUGGUUUUAAAGACCGGGGCUCAACUCCGGAUCUGCGGUGGGUACGGGCAGACUAGAGUGAUGUAGGGGAGACUGGAAUUCCUGGUGUAGCGGUGAAAUGCGCAGAUAUCAGGAGGAACACCGGUGGCGAAGGCGGGUCUCUGGGGCCGUAACUGACGCUGAGGCGCGACAGCGUGGGGAGCAAACAGG
rnacentral:rRNA from 1 species